rnacentral:rRNA from 1 species
AUACGGAGGAUCCGAGCGUUAUCCGGACUUAUUGGGUUUAAAGGGUGCGUAGGCGGGUUUUUAAGUCAGUGGUGAAAGUUUGCAGCUCAACUGUAAAAUUGCCAUUGAAACUGAAGACCUUGAGUGUAAAUGAGGUAGGCGGAAUGUGUUGUGUAGCGGUGAAAUGCUUAGAUAUGACACAGAGCACCGAUUGCGAAGGCAGCUUACUAAGAUACAACUGACGCUGAGGCACGAAAGCGUGGGGAUCGAACAGGAUUAGAUACCCUGGUAGUCCACGCAGUAAACGAUGAUUACUAGCUGUUUGCGAUAUACAGUAAGUGGCUAAGCGAAAGCGAUAAGUAAUCCACCUGGGGAGUACGUUCGCAAGAAUGAA